UACGUAGGGUCCAAGCGUUAUCCGGAAUCACUGGGCGGUAAAGCGUGCGUAGGCGGACGUUAAGUGUGAUGUUAAAUCGGUGUGGCUCAACCAUAUCGAUGCAUCGCAUACUGGAUGUCUGGAGAAAGGCAGAGGCAAGUGGAAUUGGCAGUGUAGCGGUAAAAUGCGUAGAUAUUGCCAGGAACACCAAUGGCGAAGGCGCUGCUGGGCCUU
rnacentral:rRNA from 1 species